GAUGAACGCUGGCGGCGUGCUUAACACAUGCAAGUCGAACGAUGAAGCCCAGCUUGCUGGGUGGAUUAGUGGCGAACGGGUGAGUAACACGUGAGUAACCUGCCCUUAACUCUGGGAUAAGCCUGGGAAACUGGGUCUAAUACCGGAUAGGAGCGUCCACCGCAUGGUGGGUGUUGGAAAGAUUUAUCGGUUUUGGAUGGACUCGCGGCCUAUCAGCUUGUUGGUGAGGUAAUGGCUCACCAAGGCGACGACGGGUAGCCGGCCUGAGAGGGUGAUCGGCCACACUGGGACUGAGACACGGCCCAGACUCCUACGGGAGGCAGCAGUGGGGAAUAUUGCACAAUGGGCGCAAGCCUGAUGCAGCGACGCCGCGUGAGGGAUGACGGCCUUCGGGUUGUAAACCUCUUCCAGUAGGGAAGAAGCGAAAGUGACGGUACCUGCAGAAGAAGCACCGGCUAACUACGUG
rnacentral:rRNA from 1 species